rnacentral:rRNA from 1 species
GACGAACGCUGGCGGCGUGCUUAACACAUGCAAGUCGAACGGACAGGUCCUGAUCUUGCGGCGUGCUCGUGUGGCGAACGCGUGAGUAAAACGUGUGUAUCCCCUCCUUAACAUUCGGAUAAAUCCUGGAAAAUGCGGCUCAUACCCGAUAGGAGCUCUUGCAGCAUGGUGGGGGUUGGAAAGUUUCGGCGGUUGGGGAUGGUCUCGCGGCUUCUCAGCUGGAUGGUGGAGUAGUGGCUUACCAAGGCUUUGACGGGUAGCCGGCCUGGGAGGGUGGCCGGCCACAAUGGUCCUGAGGUAGGGACCAGACUCCAACGUGACGCAACAGUGGGGAGCAUUGCACAGUGGGCGGACGCCAGAUACAACGACGCCGCGUGCGUGAUGACCGCCUACUAGUUGUAAACCGCUUUCGCCGGUGACAAGGCGGGCGUGACGGUAAUUGGUAAAGAAGCACCGGCUAACUACGUG